rnacentral:rRNA from 1 species
UUUUAUUUGAGAGUUUGAUCCUGGCUCAGGAUGAACGCUGGCGGCGUGCCUAACACAUGCAAGUUGAGCGAUUUACUUCGGUAAAGAGCGGCGGACGGGUGAGUAACGCGUGGGUAACCUACCCUGUACACACGGAUAACAUACCGAAAGGUAUGCUAAUACGGGAUAAUAUAUUUGAGAGGCAUCUCUUAAAUAUCAAAGGUGAGCUAGUACAGGAUGGACCCGCGUCUGAUUAGCUAGUUGGUAAGGUAACGGCUUACCAAGGCGACGAUCAGUAGCCGACCUGAGAGGGUGAUCGGCCACAUUGGAACUGAGACACGGUCCAAACUCCUACGGGAGGCAGCAGUGGGGAAUAUUGCACAAUGGGCGAAAGCCUGAUGCAGCAACGCCGCGUGAGUGAUGAAGGCCUUCGGGUCGUAAAACUCUGUCCUCAAGGAAGAUAAUGACGGUACUUGAGGAGGAAGCCCCGGCUAACUACGUGCCAGCAGCCGCGGUAAUACGUAGGGGGCUA